CAUGAAACCAGGCUUCAUCUUGUCAGAAAGUGGAAAUUCAGAGAUUGAUAGAAGACUCAGAAAACAUAUGCUUUUAGGAUCCCCUGAAAACCCCUGUUACCAGUGAGGGCAAAGAACAUUACUGGCCCACCGUGUUGUACAACUCCUCCAGUCUGGGAAUGCACAAGAGCGUCCAUCAUGGCCUGUUCCAGAGAAUUUACCUGCCGAAAAAAUAUAGUAAUAUUGUUCAUUACUAGUUAGAAAUCUUACAACCUGAG